rnacentral:rRNA from 1 species
GUGUCAGCCGCCGCGGUAAUACGGAAGGUGCGAGCGUUAAUCGGAAUUACUGGGCGUAAAGCGCACGUAGGCGGUUACUUAAGUCGGAUGUGAAAGCCCUGGGCUUAACCUGGGAAUUGCAUCCGAUACUGGGUGACUAGAGUACGGUAGAGGGGGGUGGAAUUCCAGGUGUAGCGGUGAAAUGCGUAGAGAUCUGGAGGAACACCGGUGGCGAAGGCGGCCCCCUGGACUGAUACUGACGCUGAGGUGCGAAAGCGUGGGGAGCAAACAGGAUUAGAAACCCUGGUAGUCC